rnacentral:rRNA from 1 species
CUCAUUAAAUCAGUUAUAGUUUAUUUGAUGGUCUCUUUCUUUUUCUUACUUGGAUAACCGUGGUAAUUCUAGAGCUAAUACAUGCGCAAGGUCCCGAGCGCGGAGAGUAGGACUUCACGGUUCUAUUCUUGCAUGCGUAGAGGGAUGUAUUUAUUAGGUUAAACAACCAGCAUCUUUUCAUUUCUGGUGAUCCAUAGUAACUCUUUCGGAUCGCAUUCAUG